GCUACGGGGGGCAGCAGUGAGGAAUAUUGGUCAAUGGCCGUAAGGCUGAACCAGCCAAGUAGCGUGAGGGAAGACUGCCCUAUGGGUUGUAAACCUCUUUUAUGCGGGGAUAAAGGUGUCCACGUGUGGAUGUUUGCAGGUACCGCAUGAAUAAGGACCGGCUAAUUCCGUGACAGCAGCCGCGGUAAUGCGGAAGGACCGGGCGUUGUCCGGAUUUAUUGGGGUGAAUGGGAGCGUAGGCCGGUCUUUAAGCGUGCCGUGAUAUAUUGUGGCUCAACCAUGAGAGUGUGGGGCGAACUGGAGACCGUGAGUGCGCGGAAGGCAGGCGGAAUGCGGGGUGUAGAGGUGAAAUGCUUAGAU
rnacentral:rRNA from 1 species